GAGUAAUGUCUGGGAAACUGCCUGAUGGAGGGGGAUAACUACUGGAAACGGUAGCUAAUACCGCAUAACGUCGCAAGACCAAAGAGGGGGACCUUCGGGCCUCUUGCCAUCGGAUGUGCCCAGAUGGGAUUAGCUAGUAGGUGGGGUAAAGGCUCACCUAGGCGACGAUCCCUAGCUGGUCUGAGAGGAUGACCAGCCACACUGGAACUGAGACACGGUCCAGACUCCUACGGGAGGCAGCAGUGGGGAAUAUUGCACAAUGGGCGCAAGCCUGAUGCAGCCAUGCCGCGUGUAUGAAGAAGGCCUUCGGGUUGUAAAGUACUUUCAGCGGGGAGGAAGGGAGUAAAGUUAAUACCUUUGCUCAUUGA
rnacentral:rRNA from 1 species